AGCGAACGCUGGCGGCAGGCCUAACACAUGCAAGUCGAACGAUCCUUCGGGAUAGUGGCGGACGGGUGAGUAACACGUGGGAACGUGCCUUUUGGUUCGGAACAACUCAGGGAAACUUGAGCUAAUACCGAAUGUGCCCUUCGGGGGAAAGAUUUAUCGCCAUUAGAGCGGCCCGCGUCUGAUUAGCUAGUUGGUGAGGU
rnacentral:rRNA from 1 species